AGAGUUUGAUCCUGGCUCAGGAUGAACGCUGGCGGCGUGCUUAACACAUGCAAGUCGAACGAACCUUCGGGUUAGUGGCGGACGGGUGAGUAACGCGUGAGAAUCUGCCCUCAGGAGGGGGAUAACAGCUGGAAACGGCUGCUAAUACCCCAUAUGCCGCGAGGUGAAAUGAAUUUCGCCUGAGGAUGAGCUCGCGUCUGAUUAGCUAGUUGGUGUAGGUAAAGGCUCACCAAGGCAUCGAUCAGUAGCUGGUCUGAGAGGAUGAUCAGCCACACUGGGACUGAGACACGGCCCAGACUCCUACGGGAGGCAGCAGUGGGGAAUUUUCCGCAAUGGGCGAAAGCCUGACGGAGCAACGCCGCGUGAGGGAUGAAGGCCUCUGGGCUGUAAACCUCUUUUAUCAAGGAAGAAGAUCUGACGGUACUUGAUGAAUAAGCCACGGCUAAUUCCGUGCCAGCAGCCGCGGUAAUACGGGAGUGGCAAGCGUUAUCCGGAAUUAUUGGGCGUAAAGCGUCCGCAGGCGGCCCAGAAAGUCUGCUGUUAAAACGUGGAGCUUAACUCCAUCACGGCAGUGGAAACUGUUGGGCUUGAGUGUGGUAGGGGCAGAGGGAAUUCCCGGUGUAGCGGUGAAAUGCGUAGAUAUCGGGAAGAACACCAGUGGCGAAGGCGCUCUGCUGGGCCAUAACUGACGCUCAUGGACGAAAGCCAGGGGAGCGAAAGGGAUUAGAUACCCCUGUAGUCCUGGCCGUAAACGAUGAACACUAGGUGUCGGGGGAAUCGACCCCCUCGGUGUCGUAGCCAACGCGUUAAGUGUUCCGCCUGGGGAGUACGCACGCAAGUGUGAAACUCAAAGGAAUUGACGGGGGCCCGCACAAGCGGUGGAGUAUGUGGUUUAAUUCGAUGCAACGCGAAGAACCUUACCAGGGUUUGACAUCCUGCGAACCUCUUGGAAACGAGAGGGUGCCUUCGGGAACGCAGUGACAGGUGGUGCAUGGCUGUCGUCAGCUCGU
rnacentral:rRNA from 1 species